rnacentral:rRNA from 1 species
CACGUAGGUGGCAAGCGUUGUCCGGAAUUAUUGGGCGUAAAGGGAGCGCAGGUGGGAAUGUAAGUCAAUCUUAAAAGUGCGGGGCUCAACCCCGUGAUGGGAUAGAAACUACAUUUCUUGAGUGCAGGAGAGGAAAGUGGAAUUCCUAGUGUAGCGGUGAAAUGCGUAGAUAUUAGGAGGAACACCAGUGGCGAAGGCGACUUUCUGGACUGUUACUGACACCGAGGCUCGAAAGCUAGGGGAGCGAACG